rnacentral:sRNA from 1 species
GGAAACUUGGUCUUGGAAUUGGGCAGGAACAAAGCAUCUUGGAGCCCAGGAAGCAGAAACUGUUAAGAGCUAUCCUGCAGCAGGAGCAGUUGUGUUAGCUUCUCAUCUGCUCGGAUGGAAUGGUCACAGGUGUAGAGUUCGGUGCUCGAAUGAUAACUAUUGAUGGGAAACAGAUAAAACUUCAGAUAUGGGAUACGGCAGGGCAAGAAUCCUUUCGUUCCAUCACAAGGUCGUAUUACAGAGGUGCAGCAGGAGCUUUACUAGUUUACGAUAUUACACGGAGAGAUACAUUCAACCACUUGACAACCUGGUUAGAAGAUGCCCGCCAGCAUUCCAAUUCCAACAUGGUCAUUAUGCUUAUUGGAAAUAAAAGUGAUUUAGAAUCUAGAAGAGAAGUAAAAAAAGAAGAAGGUGAAGCUUUUGCACGAGAACAUGGACUCAUCUUCAUGGAAA